ACUCCUACGGGAGGCUGCAGUGGGGAAUCUUCCGCAAUGGACGAAAGUCUGACGGAGCAACGCCGCGUGUACGACGAAGGCCUUCGGGUUGUAAAGUACUGUCUUCAGGGACGAACGGUAGGUGUGUAAAUAAUGCAUUUACAUGACGGUACCUGAGGAGGAAGCCCCGGCUAACUACGUGCCAGCAGCCGCGGUAAUACGUAGGGGGCAAGCGUUGUCCGGAAUCAUUGGGCGUAAAGGGCGCGUAGGCGGAUACUUAAGUCUGGUGUGAAAACCUGG
rnacentral:rRNA from 1 species